rnacentral:rRNA from 1 species
UAAUACGAAGGUGUCUAGCGUUGUUCGGAAUCACUGGGCGUAAAGCGCGCGCAGGCGGACUAUCAAGUCAGAGGUGAAAGCCCAAGGCUUAACCUUGGAAUUGCCUUUGAAACUGAUAGUCUAGAGUAUGUGAGGGGGUAGCGGAAUUCCUAAUGUAGCGGUGAAAUGCGUAGAUAUUAGGAGGAACACCGGUGGCGAAGGCGGCUACCUGGCACAUAACUGACGCUGAGGCGCGAAAGCGUGGGGAUCAAACAGGAUUAGAUACCCUGGUAGUCCACGCUGUAAACGAUGAGUGCUAGCUGUUGGGUCGCAAGACUCAGUGGCGUCGCUAACGCAUUAAGCACUCCGCCUGGGGAGUACGGUCGCAAGAUUA